UACGUAGGGGGCAAGCGUUGUCCGGAUUUACUGGGCGUAAAGCGAGCGCAGGCGGUUUUUUAAGUCUGAUGUGAAAUCCUUCGGCUCAACCGAAGAAGUGCAUCUGAAACUGGGAAGCUUGAGUGAAGAAGAGGAAGGUGGAAUUCCAUGUGUAGCGGUGAAAUGCGUAGAGAUAUGGAGGAACACCAGUGGCGAAGGCGGCUGUCUGGGCUUUAACUGACGCUGAGGCUCGAAAGUGUGGGUAGCAAACAGG
rnacentral:rRNA from 1 species